UACGUAGGGGGCAAGCGUUGUCCGGAUUUAUUGGGCGUAAAGAGCGUGUAGGCGGCCAGGUAGGUCCGUUGUGAAAACUCGAGGCUCAACCUCGAGACGUCGGCGGAAACCCUCUGGCUAGAGUCCGGAAGAGGAGAAUGGAAUUCCUGGUGUAGCGGUGAAAUGCGCAGAUAUCAGGAAGAACACCCGUGGCGAAGGCGGUUCUCUGGGACGGUACUGACGCUGAGACGCGAAAGCGUGGGGAGCGAACAGG
rnacentral:rRNA from 1 species